GUCAAUCUCGGAUAUCGUUAAACAGAAGAUUUAAUACGAAUGCAGAGAUGAUUAGCAUGGUCCCUGCGCAAGGAUGACAUGCAAGAAUGA
rnacentral:snRNA from 1 species